AGCUAAUUGGCGCAGUGGCAGCGUGUCGGGCUCAUAACCCGAAGGCCGAUGGAUCGAAACCAUCAUUAGCUA